rnacentral:rRNA from 1 species
GUAGUAGUUUAGUGAUGGGGUGACGCAGGAAGGUAGAUGAUCCCGGCCGGUGGUUGUGCCGGGGUAAGCGUGUAGGCCGUACCGUAGGCAAAUCCGCGGUGCACAUAGGCUGAGACGUGAUGCCGAGCCGUUCUGGUGAAGUCAUUGAUCCUAUGCUGCCGAGAAAAGCCUCUAGCGAUGUUUCGAGCGGCCCGUACCCUAAACCGACACAGGUGGUCAGGUAGAGAAUACCGAGGCGACGGGUGAACUGUGGUUAAGGAACUCGGCAAAUUGCCCCCGUAACUUAGGGAGAAGGGGGGCCGGACGCGUGAAGCCACUUGCUGGUGGAGCGUGGUAUGGCCGCAGAGAGCAGGGGGAAGCGACUGUUUACUAAAAACACAGGUCCAUGCCAAGUCGUAAGACGAUGUAUAUGGACUGACGCCUGCCCGGUGCUGGAACGUUAAGGGGACCUGUUAGCGAGCAAUCGCGAGGCGGAGAACUUAAGCGCCAGUAAACGGCGGUGGUAACUAUAACCAUCCUAAGGUAGCGAAAUUCCUUGUCGGGUAAGUUCCGACCUGCACGAAUGGCGUAACGACUUCCCCACUGUCUCAACCACAGGCCCGGCGAAAUUGCAGUACGAGUAAAGAUGCUCGUUACGCGCGGCAGGACGGAAAGACCCCGGGACCUUUACUAUAGCUUGACAUUGGUAUCUGAAUUCGAUUGUGUAGGAUAGGUGGGAGACUGUGAAGCUCGGACGCCAGUUCGGGUGGAGUCAUUGUUGAAAUACCACUCUGUUGGGUUUGGGUAUCUAACUUGCGGCCCUGAUCGGGUCGAGGGACAGUGUCUGGUGGGUAGUUUAACUGGGGCGGUUGCCUCCUAAAGGGUAACGGAGGCGCCCAAAGGUUCCCUCAGCCUGGUUGGCAAUCAGGUGUUGAGUGUAAGUGCACAAGGGAGCUUGACUGUGAGACUGACGGGUCGAGCAGGGACGAAAGUCGGGACUAGUGAUCCGGCACUUGCGUGUGGAAGCGGUGUCGCUCAACGGAUAAAAGGUACCCCGGGGAUAACAGGCUGAUCUUCCCCAAGAGUCCAUAUCGACGGGAUGGUUUGGCACCUCGAUGUCGGCUCGUCGCAUCCUGGGGCUGUAGCAGGUCCCAAGGGUUGGGCUGUUCGCCCAUUAAAGCGGUACGCGAGCUGGGUUUAGAACGUCGUGAGACAGUUCGGUCCCUAUCCGCCGUGCGCGUUGGAUACUUGAGAAGGGCUGUCCCUAGUACGAGAGGACCGGGACGGACGAACCUCUGGUGUGCCAGUUGUUCCGCCAGGAGCAUGGCUGGUUGGCUACGUUCGGAAGGGAUAACCGCUGAAAGCAUCUAAGCGGGAAGCCUGCUUCGAGAUGAGGUAUCCCACCACCUUGAGUGGGUAAGGCUCCCAGCUAGACUACUGGGUUGAUAGGCCGGAGAUGUAAGCACGGUAACGUGUUGAGUUGACCGGUACUAAUAGGCCGAGGGCUUAACCA